rnacentral:tmRNA from 1 species
UCACUUCACAUUAAGCGAUCCAUCGCUAUAUGGAGUCGUGCCGGUUUCGGCCGGCUAUGGCGAUAAAUUGCGGUGUGCAAUAGGCACAGCGGACCCGGGGGCAGUACCCGGCGGCUCCACCAAAUGCUCCGUUGUCGGGGGCUGGAUCAUGGGGCCGAACCAGGAUCGACGUGUGUUGAAAGGCACUGUUUUCGCCCGGGCUGAGUAACCCGUUCAAGGCUCAAAACACACAAGUGCCAACGAUAACGAAGCACUCGCUCUCGCUGCGUAACCUGACGGCCUAACGGCCUGAUCUUACAAAGCUAAAGCGCGGUUGGACCCACCGGGCAACAGAAGGGAUACC